UCGACAAUGCAAGGGUGCCGUGCUGUCCCAAAUCCAUGAUUGUGACAAAAAGUUGUUCUCAAAAUCAGAAAGAAACAAUCUCGCAAUUACUAGUAUCUAAAAGGGAAUUUUAAGGUCUGAUAUUGCCAACCAAGCAUUUUCAUAGGUACAUCAACAGACAGAAUUUCUGGAUGUAAACUGGCUCUAGAACUUACAAAAUUUAGAGCACCAAGUCGCGAGAUGGACUUAGGUACAAACCUAAUCAACACAGAAUUUCAAAAAAAUUUCACUGUCCUAUUUUAGGAAAAUUAAUUUUCACACAAAUCCUUAAGUCGUCUUUUUUUAUGUGUCUAAUUUAAAAAAAAAUGUUGUUAAAACCUCUGAGUUGCUUACAAAACACAAAUCAAUAAAACUAAACCUAACUUAACUUUACUUUAAUUCAUUACUGAACGUUAGAAACCCGAGUUAAGGGAUUAUUUUCAUUGCCUUCAUAUCAAUCGAUAUUUGUAUUUAUGUAUCUUUUGGAACUCUAAUGGCAAUCGCAUUAUAGUACCAUUGAGUGUCCUUCACAUGCAGCCGAUACUUCGCUAUCUAAAUUACCAAUAGACAUCCUGGUAAAAAUACAAAAAAAAGUCUCCCGGAAAGAUUUCCUCGGAGAAAAAGAUAUAGGUAUCAGGAGGAAAAUGGAGUGGUUCGGUGGCUUACAUAGGAGAGGAAAAACAUCCUCAAGACAACAGUAUUGACAUUGUGUUCAAUAAAACUCGAAAGGACUGGAACAUUAAAAUGCAAGGGAACAGACUAUAUCGCGUGCAUUGAACGAACAUUCACAAUACACAAAUGACUGCCCGGGUGGAUUGGAUGUUUAUGCAAGGCGGUGAGGUUUGUGUUGGACACAGAACGAACGAUACCAGCGGCUUCUAAAGGAUAAAGUAUUUAUAGCCUUCCCGGUAAAAAUGGUUCUCCAAGCUCCAACAGGUUUUUCGAAAUACGAGUAAAUGCACAAAAAUGGAGAAAUUGAAAACAAAAUUUAUAAGAAAAAUGUUUUCGAUGAGAUGUCUGUAUAGUAUAUGAAAUAUAUGAAUAAAAAAUAUGAUUGCAUGUUGGACAGAGCGAGAUGUUCAAUUGAGCGAGUUGGUGUACGGUCGUGAAAUUGUACGAGGACAGGGACUUACCAUUAUCGAAGAAUUACAUACAACGAACAUUUUUCAUAUAUCAAAAAGGGUGGUUAAGCUAAAAAAAUGAAACUACUAUAAAUAAAAUUAUGGGAGAAGGAAAAUGGAUCUUUGCUGAUUAUUUUUGUUUCUACCUACACUCAAAUAACAACUAGAGUAUUAGAGUAAAUGCAUUUGCUUAGGACUAAUUUAUGGCCAACGAAUUUGAAAAAAAAAGAAAGCAGUUUUCCUGUAGGCCAAAAGUGAAAGUUCGCCGUAAUGUAGAAGUGUUUUUAUCUGCAGAACUUGAAGUAGAGGGAAUUUUGCCCCAGAAAUCUUCUUGGCAUAACUAAGGAAAAAACCGAACUAAAAGACAAAUCGGGUAGGCAUUUAUGAGGUUAAGUGGAUGAUUGCGAGGAAUUG